UGUUUCUCGAUUUUAAAGAUGCAGGGGACACACGGCCAGACCACAGGCCCAUGUGCUAGGCCGUGUGUCACACACGGCUGAGACACAUGCCCAUGUCUCUAUCCGUGUGGAUGAAAAUAAGCCAUUUUUUAGCCACUUUUCUCAACUAAUCCUGGUAUCAACCUAGGCACAACCAUUUACACAUUCACAAACAACAACAAGACCUUCAAUUCAAG
rnacentral:lncRNA from 1 species